GCAUCACCAAUCUUUUUGGACAACUGAACCAGACACUCAUCUACUGCUGUUCGAAAUUUAUUGUUCCAUUUCAUUGUGUCAUCCCCCAGUUCUGUGGUACUAAAUGUGGAUUGAAUACAUUUCCUUAAAUGUCUGACCAGGUCACUAAUUGCACCAAUUAGAGCUACAGACGUCUCAGCUCUAGAUUGUUCAGCAAGGUUGGUGGUAACUUCAACAAUGUCAAGCUGCAUGUCGAGUUGGUUUAGCACACUCUUGUGGUCAAGAUGUUUAAUCAGCAUGGAUAAUAACAAAUGUGCAUUU
rnacentral:misc_RNA from 1 species